CCCCUAGAUGUUCUGGGCCGCACGCGCGCUACACUGAACAGUUCAACAAGUCUUAACCUUGGCCGACAGGCCCGGGCAAUCUUUGAACGCUGGUCGUGAUGGGGAUAGACUUUUGCAAUUUUUGGUCUUCAACGAGGAAUUCCUAGUAAACGCAAGUCAUCAACUUGCAUUGAUUACGUCCCUGCCCUUUGUACACACCGCCCGUCGCACCUACCGAUUGAAUGGUCCGGUGAAGCCUCCGGAUUGGCGCGCACCUCGGUGCCGCCGAGAAGUUGGCUAAACCUUACCAUUUAGAGGAAGGUGAANUCGUAACA
rnacentral:rRNA from 1 species